UGUUUAUGUGCCCCAGGAUUCCACUGGGUGGCAGCCAGAGCGGCAGCCAAGGGGUAAGAAAGCAGGAGUGACAAGUGCAGUGAGGAUGAAAUGAGAGCCAACAUCAUGCACUCUGUCACCUUUCUAUCAGCUCCUUUCGGGGUGCAGAUGCAAAGAUGCAGAGAUGAGAAUUGGUUUAAUAAAAGCCAUGUAAGUGGACCCACAGUGAAGCCAUGGUGGACUUUCCUUCCCAGAAGGCACUGCAAUUCUGAAUUCAGG